UACGUAGGGGGCGAGCGUUGUCCGGAAUCAUUGGGCGUAAAGCGCGUGUAGGCGGCCCGGUAAGUCCGCUGUGAAAGUCGGGGGCUCAACCCUCGAAUGCCGGUGGAUACUGUCGGGCUAGAGUGCGGGAGAGGCGAGUGGAAUUCCGUGGUGUAGCGGUGAAAUGCGCAGAUAUCAGGAGGAACACCAAUUGCGAAGGCAGCUCGCUGGGACGUUACUGACGCUGAGACGCGAAAGCGUGGGGAGCAAACAGG
rnacentral:rRNA from 1 species